AUUGAACGCUGGCGGCAUGCUUUACACAUGCAAGUCGAACGGCAGCGCGGGCUUCGGCCUGGCGGCGAGUGGCGAACGGGUGAGUAAUAUAUCGGAACGUACCCAAGAGUGGGGGAUAACGUAGCGAAAGUUACGCUAAUACCGCAUACGAUCUAAGGAUGAAAGCAGGGGACCGCAAGGCCUUGUGCUCCUGGAGCGGCCGAUAUCUGAUUAGCUAGUUGGUGAGGUAAAGGCUCACCAAGGCAACGAUCAGUAGCUGGUCUGAGAGGACGACCAGCCACACUGGAACUGAGACACGGUCCAGACUCCUACGGGAGGCAGCAGUGGGGAAGUUUGGACAAUGGGGGCAACCCUGAUCCAGCAAUGCCGCGUGAGUGAAGAAGGCCUUCGGGUUGUAAAGCUCUUUUGUCAGGGAAGAAAAGGCUGUGGCUAAUAUCCACAGCUGCUGACGGUACCUGAAGAAUAAGCACCGGCUAACUACGUGCCAGCCGCCGCAGUAACAC
rnacentral:rRNA from 1 species